UACGUAGGGUGCAAGCGUUGUCCGGAAUUACUGGGCGUAAAGGGCGCGUAGGCGGCCUGUGCAAGUCAGUUGUGAAAUCUCCGGGCUUAACUCGGAACGGUCAACUGAUACUGCUCGGCUAGAGUGCGGAAGGGGCAACUGGAAUUCUUGGUGUAGCGGUGAAAUGCGUAGAUAUCAAGAGGAACACCAGAGGUGAAGACGGGUUGCUGGGCUGACACUGACGCUGAGGCGCGAAAGCCAGGGGAGCAAACGGG
rnacentral:rRNA from 1 species